CUGUUCUUAACUCAAUGGUAGAGCAUCUGCUUUGCAUGCAGAAGGUAUUGGCUUCAAGUCUCCAGGUAGGACUGG